rnacentral:lncRNA from 1 species
UAAAUAGCUGACACUGUUUUCGUUAUUGGGUGCAUAUGAAUAAACUGAGUUUGCUCUCCUGAGUUCUGAUUCUUUUCUUAUUAGUUGAAUCCCUGAUACUAAAUACUACUCUAAUCAAUAGUCAUGGGGCAGGUCUAUGCUUCUGUAAUUUCUUAAUUAACAAUCACAUACACAAGCUAGUAGGUUGUAACAUGAGGAUAAAUAUUCAAUACACGCAUAGUUUUUCGUUGUAAAUGCACAAAUUCAAAAGUAUAUAGGUCAGACAGUACCAUCAGGGCCUAAAAAAUCAAAACGUUCAAGAAACAUAAAAACGUCACAAGACCAGUCAUCUUCCUAACCAGCGAACAAUCCCAUGGAUCUUAGGCCAAGAAGAGCAAAAAUCCUGGAAGAGCAAGAACCACAGACAAACCUCGGCGAGUCAGGAGAGAUGGUGGCAGUACCGGCGGCGGCGGCGGUUGGAUUCGUCGGAGUCGCCUGGACUUGCCGUGGAAUCGUCGGCGUCGCUCGAGGAUUCGUCGGUCGUCGCGGAGUCGUCUGCAGAAAGGAGUGCUCGCCGGGAUUGAGCUUCACGCCGCCGCGGACUCGUCGGGGUCGCCCUAAGACUCGUCGGCUGUCGUGGAGUCGUCGGCAGGACGAAGCGACCGCCAGGAUCGAGCUUCGGCUUUGGCAGCGCUCGUUGCGCCGCCGCGUCACGGCGUAAGACGUGUAUUGAAGGUUUUUUAUGGGCUUACCACCAGUCGAUACCGGGCUGCCAAAUGAAAUAUGGAGUGGAUCUGUGGGUAAACUAGCUUCUGGCCCGGUAAAAUACACUGGUAUUCUUCGAACUACCGGCCUGCCAAACGAGGCCUCAAGGGGAACCAAUGACCAUUCAAAUUCCCAACCAGGGAGCAAAAAUUCGGCCGAGCUAAACAGGCCAUAAAAACUAUGCCUCUUCUGCGAACUGGAUAACUUUGUUUUGAGGCCAUUACUGUUAGAGGGCCAUCCUGGCCCAAUAUGACGGUGUCGAUGUUAUAAUUGAAUGGAAUGAAGGUCUGUGUGAAGGCAUGAUGAAGAUCCCUACAGUUUAUAGGCUUUGUUAGCCUGUCGGAAUCCAUCUCGGUACAUUCUGAAUUUGUGAGGAAAUGUACCGAAGCCAAGCCUGUGGCCCCACAAGUUGUGGGUCUCCGAUUUCUGUAUGCUAUAGCAGGUGGGCUUCGGCCUUUUUGGUCCGUAUGCCAAGCUCGAGUAGUCGGGUAGCAGUACUUGUGUUGUGUUCCACUAAAUAAACUUGACCCCUCGACAAAAAAAAACUAAAUAAACUUGCGGUAAAAAAAAUACCU